rnacentral:rRNA from 1 species
UACAGAGGUCCCGAGCGUUGUUCGGAUUCAUUGGGCGUAAAGGGUGCGUAGGCGGGUCUUUAAGUCAGGGGUGAAAUCUCCCGGCUCAACUGGGAGGGUGCAUUAGAAACUGGAAUGCUAGAGGAUGGGAGAGGUAAGCGGAAUUCCUGGUGUAGCGGUGAAAUGCGUAGAUAUCAGGAGGAACACCUGUGGUGUAGACAGCUUACUGGACCAUGACUGACGCUGAGGCACGAAAGCGUGGGGAGCAAACAGG